UUUGAAAAUGACUCAGACACCUGAGCAUAUCUUUGACAAAAGUGCUCUUGAUUUUACAGGACCACUUGGAACCACCUCUGUUCCCUAUCCAGAAAGGCUCCCUCAGUCUUCUGAGGCAGAAAUGGGAAUCCAGCGAUCACCCGAGAAGUGAAAGUUGUCCUGGCGGCAGUCACUCCAGGCUCCUUCAGCCUCUGGAAAACAAACUGCUGGAGCCUGACUUAGAGGUUCACUCAGCACCUGAGGCUCCCCACCCUCCGAGUCUGCCCUGCAGUAAAGGACAGAUGUUAAAUGCAGAGCCUGAAAACAAAAGUCCUGAGGACAAGAAUGACCAUUCCAGAGAAUGCAGCCAGCCUGAAGUGCUAAAGGAAGAUUCCCUGACGGGUCGCCGCAGGAUCGAACGCAUUUCUAUUGCCCUUGACGAGCUGAGAAGUGUGUUUGAGGCCCCUAAAUUUGGACACAGAACAGCUAGACCACCUGAAUACAGCCAAAAGGAAGUGGAAACUGAGCGAAGUUUGUGUUCACCAGUGCUUAAGAGUCAUCCCAGGAGCCAGUCAGAAGAGUCUGUGAAAGAUUCAAACAAGAAAGGGGAGAAAACAUCUUUGGACAAGAUGUCACCUGAAAGUGCUCAAAGCGACACCUUUGAAGGUUAGCGUAACAUCUUGAUGCGAUUUCUUGAGAUCAUGCCUUGUACAACAUGAGUGGCUAAUAAACAAAAUAUAUAAAUAAAAC
rnacentral:lncRNA from 1 species